GACGAAUGCUGGCUGCGUGCUUAACACAUGCAAGUCGAACGGUGAAGGAGGGCUUGCCCUCCGGAUCAGUGGCGAACGGGUGAGUAACACGUGGGCAACCUGCCCCUCACUCUGGGAUAACGCCGGGAAACCGGCGCUAAUACCGGAUACGACCAGGCGCGACAUCUCGCCUGGUGGAAAGAAUUUCGGUGAGGGAUGGGCCCGCGGCCUAUCAGCUAGUUGGGGGGGUAACGGCCCACCAAGGCGACGACGGGUAGCCGGCCUGAGAGGGCGACCGGCCACACUGGGACUGAAACACGGCCCAGACUCCUACGGGAGGCAGCAGUGGGGAAUAUUGCGCAAUGGGCGAAAGCCUGACGCAGCGACGCAGCGUGAGGGACGAAGGCCUUCGGGUUGUAAACCUCUUUCAGCGGGGACGAAGCGAAAGUGACGGUACCCGCAGAAGAAGCACCGGCUAACUACGUGCCAGCCGCCGCUGUAAUAC
rnacentral:rRNA from 1 species